rnacentral:rRNA from 1 species
ACUACGGGCGGCAGCAGUGAGGAAUAUUGGUCAAUGGGCGAGAGCCUGAACCAGCCAAGUCGCGUGAGGGAAGACGGUCCUAUGGAUUGUAAACCUCUUUUGUCGGGGAGCAAAAAGGCCUCGUGAGGCCACAAGUGAGAGUACCCGAAGAAAAAGCAUCGGCUAACUCCGUGCCAGCAGACGCGGUAAUACGGAGGAUGCGAGCGUUAUCCGGAUGUAUUGGGUUUAAAGGGUGCGUAGGCGGACUGGAAAGUCAGCGGUAAAAUCGAGAGGCUCAACCUCUUUCCGCCGUUGAAACUGUCGGUCUGGAGUGGGCGAGAAGUAUGCGGAAUGCGUGGUGUAGCGGUGAAAUGCAUAGAUAUCACGCAGAACUCCGAUUGCGAAGGCAGCAUACCGGCGCCCGACUGACGCUGAGGCACGAAAGCGUGGGUAUCGAACAGGAUUAGAUACCCCUGUAGUC